rnacentral:rRNA from 1 species
AUGGAGCGUGUUGAGGGGCUGAUGAGCAGCUUGAAGUUGACUGAUUUGGAGAGCAAGGGCCGGAAGAUAGCAUGGAGUGGAGGGGGGAAGAGGGGAGUAGUGGAACCACAGGCGCUUGCAAAGCUGAUGUCGGAUAAACCGGCCUUUGCAGAUGGUAUGGUGAAUUCUUUGGGGAAGAUUUGGUGCCCGCUGAGGGGCGUGGACUGCAAAAAUUUGGGAGACAAUAUGAACUCAUUACUAGUGUUGGAGGAGUAUGAUCCUAAUAAGAGCAUAAAGGAAUAUGAAUUUAAGAGGUUUCCGGUCUGGGUCCGGGUCUUUGAUCUGCCUUUGGGGUUGAUGUGCCGUGAUGCUGGACUUGCCAUCGGAGAUAUAAUUGGUGAAGCUCUAGAGGUUGAUGUCGGGUCAGACGGUAUGGCAGUGGGCAAGUUCUUAAGGAUCAAAGUUCGCAUGGACAUUUCUAAUCCAAUCAUGAGGGGCUUUGUCCUUGACAUGGACGACGAGCAGGAAAAGGGAGAGAAGCCCCUAACUAAGGAGGAACAAAAGAAGAGGAUGGAGGACAAUUGGUGCCGUUUUGAAUAUGAGUUCAUGCCAGAUUUUUGCUACACAUGUGGGAUGCUCGAUCAGUGGAGAAGGAAUGUUCCAUAA